rnacentral:rRNA from 1 species
AUUGAACGCUGGCGGCAUGCCUUACACAUGCAAGUCGAACGGUAACGGGCCUUCGGGUGCCGACGAGUGGCGAACGGGUGAGUAAUACAUCGGAACGUGCCCGAUCGUGGGGGAUAACGAGGCGAAAGCUUUGCUAAUACCGCAUACGAUCUACGGAUGAAAGCAGGGGACCGCAAGGCCUUGCGCGGACGGAGCGGCCGAUGGCAGAUUAGGUAGUUGGUGGGAUAAAAGCUUACCAAGCCGACGAUCUGUAGCUGGGCUGAGAGGAUGAACAGCCACAAUGGGACUGAGACACGGCCCAGACUCCUACGGGAGGCAGCAGUGGGGAAUUUUGGACAAUGGGCGCAAGCCUGAUCCAGCCAUGCCGCGUGCAGGAUGAAGGCCUUCGGGUUGUAAACUGCUUUUGUACGGAACGAAAAGCCUUCUUUUAAUACAGGAGGGUCAUGACGGUACCGUAAGAAUAAGCACCGGCUAACUACGUG